rnacentral:rRNA from 1 species
AGAGUUUGAUCCUGGCUCAGAACGAACGCUGGCGGCAGACUUAACACAUGCAAGUCGAGCGCCCCGCAAGGGGAGCGGCAGACGGGUGAGUAACGCGUGGGAAUCUACCUUUUGCUACGGAAUAACUCAGGGAAACUUGUGCUAAUACCGUAUGUGCCCUUCGGGGGAAAGAUUUAUCGGCAAAGGAUGAGCCCGCGUUGGAUUAGCUAGUUGGUGGGGUAAAGGCCCACCAAGGCGACGAUCCAUAGCUGGUCUGAGAGGAUGAUCAGCCACACUGGGACUGAGACACGGCCCAGACUCCUACGGGAGGCAGCAGUGGGGAAUAUUGGACAAUGGGCGCAAGCCUGAUCCAGCCAUGCCGCGUGUGUGAAGAAGGCCUUUUGGUUGUAAAGCACUUUAAGUUGGGAGGAUAAUGACGUUAACCGACAGAAUAAGCACCGGCUAACUCUGUGCCAGCAGCCGCGGUAAU